CAUGGCAUGAAGAUAAUGAAUCUUGACUUUUUAGCACACGAAGAUUAUACUUAUCCAUCACCUCAUAUGUUACCAUUAUUUCUCAACAUUUCAAACACAAAGAAACCCUCCUACAUCUCUCCCAUUCACGGCACAUUCCACACACAUACAUACCCUCAUUUUCUUCACUUAAACACUACAUUUCAAGCAUUACAUAACCCUUUCUUGAAGAUCAAAGAAGGUUCAAGCCAUAAGGAAGCACUUUGGAGCUUUUAUCUUCUCUUAAUCUUCAUCUAAACAUUGUGCAAAGUUGUUAUUACGCGCUAAUUGGAUACCCGAACUGCUAGCAUACAUACGGACGCAAACUUGUAACUAAGUGGAUCUUGGUGCAACAAAUUAUGAAGUUUCAAGUUUACUAUGAAGACGAUGUCAUCCGUAUUUUGGAGGGUUUGAUCCAUAUAUCCCGUCUUCGAACGGGACAUAGGAUGCAAAACCUCGUUAUUUCAAAAACUUUAUUUUGAACAAGUCUUGUUUGUAGAACUUAUAAACUUAUGUUGUCUUUUGCUACAAAACAACUUUUGACUUGUAUCUUUACAUUAUGGAAUGGAUGAACAUCGUGUAUGUUUUAUAUCAUAUAGUUUGUUUACUUA